UGCAAAGAAGUUUUUCAAGACAUGGAUUCCUUGGUUGAUGUUGGAGGUGGCACUGGAAUUAUAGCUAACACUAUUUUAGCUGCAUUUCCUCAUCUAAAAUGCACUGUGUUGGACCUCCCUCAUGUUGUUGCUAACAUGUCAGACACACAUAAUUUGAAAUAUGUAGGAGGUGACAUGUUUCAUUCAAUUCCCUCUGCUGAUGCAAUUUUGUUUAAGGUAACACGAUUCUAGCUUUUGUAUACGAACUGCUGGAACAGAUUUUGGAUUUUAAUAUCAUGACAUGAUUGUUCAGAAAUUCCUUUGCAACUUCCUUAACAUUCAUGUUGAACAUGACACAGUUACUUUUUGCAGCAUGUGUUGCAUAAUUGGAGUGAUGAGGAUUGUGUGAAGAUACUAAAGAGAUGUAGAGAAGCCAUCGAGGAUAAAAAUGAAGGAAGAAAAGGGAAGGUUCUUAUCAUUGACAUGGUAUUGGAUAGAGAUGAAGAAGAAGCAAAUAUGACUGAAGUGAAGCUCAUAUUUGAUGUAGCAAUGAUGGUUGUAGCUACUGGAAGGCAGAGAACUGAGAAAGAAUGGGAAAAGCUAUUCAUUGAGGCUGGCUUUAUGAGCUACAAAAUUACACCUCUCUUUGGCCUAAGGUCCCUCAUUCAAGUUUUUCCUUAAAAUAUUACAUAUGUAACAAUUAAAAUAAAUUGAUUGAUGAACUACAUGCAUUGUUAAGUUAAUCAAUCAGAUGAAAUUGUAGAGAUAGGUAGAUAAAAAUAAGAGAAAAUGGUCAAAUCUGUAUGUGUACUAUAGGAAUAUAUAAAUGUCAUGUUUCAGUUUAUUCCUCGUGCGGAUGCCAUUUUGCUUAAGGUAUGCACACAAAAUUUUAUUCUUGACAUGCCCAGAAAGAUAAUUAUAGGUAAAUCAUAAACGUCAAGACAAGUAAAAUAUGUAGAUUUCCAAGAACAAUUUGUGCAUUCCCUGUUUGUUUUAAAUUGUUUUCUCUAUUUACCAAACCCUUGCCAGGGCACAACCUUCUAAACUGGCAUAGAUGAUAGAUCAUACCUUUUCAUUCAGAUAAAAGUCAAAAUGGCUAGUUUUAGGAUUAGUUAUGAUAAGACUAACUUUUAUGUUAGUUGAUGAUCUUGUAGUCUGAAUGAAGGUCUUUAAAUAUUAAUUUUUUUAAUGAAAUGUAUUAUAGCCAAUUCACUUAACAAAAAUCAAGCGUGGGUCUCAUAAAUUAGAAUAUAAUUACAAUAAAAAAUAUCAUCACACAACUAAUACAAGUUGUAGUGAGGAUAUUUUUUGUUGCAAUUAUAUUUUGAGGGUACAAUUUGUAUUAGUUGUGUGAUGAUAUUUUUUAGGGAAAGGGCAUAGAUCCCCCCUUAACUUAUAUCGAAAAGUCGGUUACACGUUUAAACUAUCAUGACGAUCUAUUACACACCUCUGCUAUUUAAAAAUGAAUUUAUUUAUCCCCUAAAGCUGGCAUGGCAAAAUAAUAAUAAUGAAAAAAAAUCACGCGCGUCAAAUAAUUAUUAAAGUAAAAAAAAAAAAGAAUCAAAAUAUUUCUUAAACCCCUCCCCCCGCAUCUCUUCUUCUUCACACCCCACCCUCCUCAUCUUCUUCACACCCCAUUAAGCUUAAAAUAAACCAAUAACAAGAAACAACCAAGAAAUAAAUUACUUCAAAAGAGAGUAAAUUUUGGGAGGUUUUAAUUGGUGGGGCUUCGGCGGACGUUUUUGAGUAUUAUUAAGAAAUCUCCAGGAAGAACAUGGAAAAAUAACAAAGAAUGUAUGUCCAAAGCUGAAAAAUAUUUACAACUACAAGCCGCAACAAAUAACAAUGAAAACUUAGUUUUUAUGGCCAAUCAAUGGAAGAAAUUAAAGCAACCUUCUUGUGGAUACAUUUUGGAAUGGAAGAAUUCUUCCACUCCACGAAUCAACCCCAGAUUGUGGGCAAUUUUCUUGGUGGGCAUUGCUAAAAGUUUCUUCUUUACCAUUUUGGAACGAAGAAGAUAGAAUUAUUAGAGAAUUUUAAUAAUUGAUUAGGAAUUAAUUAGUGUAAAAUAUAAUUAAUAAAAUAAAAUUUAAGUAAUAAAGAAAAGAAAGUAAAAAAGAUAAUUUUUUGCUUUCAAUUUUUUUUAUCUUCUUUUCUCAAAAUAUUCUCAAGAUCUACUAGACAUAUCACAAAAAAGGAUAGAAACACAUUACACACGUGAAAAAACAUCAACUGUGGUUCAGUUUGAAGGCUAAAAGACAAGAUCUGUUAUUGGAAAUGACACACAUUUUAAUUAGGGUAAAUCACAUAAAUCCCACUAGUUUAGAUCUUAAUAACUAAGAUUUCCAAUAGUUUCAAAUAUUACUUCCUCUAUCAUAUUUCAUAAUUAGGAUACAUGAGUCUGAAUCCAUGAGAUACAUGUAUCUGUCGAAUUUUAAAAUUGAGAUACAAAAAUUUAUUUAUUUAAAUUAAUAGGUUGUAACUUAUUUCCUUAAUUAGAGGAGUAAUUGAGGAUUUUUCAAAAUACAUAGAUAAUUAAUUUCAUUUUAUUAUUCUUUGAAAUAGUAAAUUCAUUAAUAUUUUUAAUAUAAGAUAAAAACAUGGAUAUCUUGGUAAUGUAAUUUGAUUAAUUUCAAAUUAUUACUCUUAAAAUAAUAAAUUCAUUAAUUUGAUGUAUCUAUUAUCAAUAUAUGACGUAUCCAACAAACUAAACAUUUAGAUACAUGAGUGACAUACAAGUACAUUAAUUUCAUGUAUUUGUUAUACGCAUUUAGUAUUAAUUUUAUGUAUAUAUAUAUAUNNNNNNNNNNNNNNNNNNNNNNNNNNNNNNNNNNNNNNNNNNNNNNNNNNNNNNNNNNNNNNNNNNNNNNNNNNNNNNNNNNNNNNNNNNNNNNNNNNNNNNNNNNNNNNNNNNNNNNNNNNNNNNNNNNNNNNNNNNNNNNNNNNNNNNNNNNNNNNNNNNNNNNNNNNNNNNNNNNNNNNNNNNNNNNNNNNNNNNNNNNNNNNNNNNNNNNNNNNNNNNNNNNNNNNNNNNNNNNNNNNNNNNNNNNNNNNNNNNNNNNNNNNNNNNNNNNNNNNNNNNNNNNNNNNNNNNNNNNNNNNNNNNNNNNNNNNNNNNNNNNNNNNNNNNNNNNNNNNNNNNNNNNNNNNNNNNNNNNNNNNNNNNNNNNNNNNNNNNNNNNNNNNNNNNNNNNNNNNNNNNNNNNNNNNNNNNNNNNNNNNNNNNNNNNNAUAUUUGGGUUCAGGAGAAUUUGUGGUGAUGAUAUCUUGAGAAGAAGAGAGUAGAUUAACUAUUGUUGAAAUGAAAUUGUAAGAUGAAAUUCUUGAAUAAAAAAGGAGGAGACAUAAUUGAGUGAUAAACAUGGGAGGGGAGAAUUAAGAGAUAGUGGUUGAUUUGGAGUGAAAGAGUUAUUUAAGCAAAUAAUUAAUCAAUAAUAGUUUUAAGGGAUGUGGAUAUCUAAUUGUAUUUUUAAAUAAUAUAUUAAUAUAUGGUAUAAAAUACUAAAAGUGGUAAUAUAUGUAAUUGUUUAAAAGUAAAGAUAAUAUUAGUAUAUAUAGUAGUGAUGUAUGUCUAAUAAUGUAGUUUAUCCUUUUAAUUAUUACAGGAAAAAUUUUAUGGCGUGAGAGAUAGAUAUGAGUUGGUGUAUGUCGGUCCUACCUCAUUCAUACUGCAUUCGUCUCCCUCUUCUACUUUUUCCUUUUUCUUUCCUUACACGUUUUAUUUUUCUAAUUAUUUGUUUAAUUUUCGCAUCAAUUUUUUCAAUUGUGAAUUUUAUUUACCCAAUUCUUUCUAUUAUUUAUAAUAUAUUUAUCUUUUCAUUUUGAUAAUUGAUAGGUACUUUUUUUAAAAUAAAAAUUAUUUUAUCAAGAAUAUGAGAUGAAAAAAUAAAAUAGAAUCUUAUUUUUUUGAUUUUUUAUAUUUUUUAUUUUAGUUUAAUUUGAAGCAUAUUACGAUAAAUGUAAUUUUAAAUUUUAUGAAAUAUGAUGUAAAUGUUACACUAUUUCACAAAUUUAGAUCUUAUCUAGUUUAUGGUGAAUAAUCAUAUAAAAAGUAUUAACCAUAAUGCGAAAAUAAAUUUAAUUUUUUUAUAUACAAAUAUUUAUUAUAAUCCACUUUGUUAUAAUAUAAAAAUUGAUUUAUUAACCAAAUAUUUAUACUUUAUUAAUAUAAAAAAAUGAUAAAAUUUUGAUUUGCUAAGUGAAAAAUCAAUCAAUCAAGCAUAUAUGCAUGUAUCAAAUGAGAGAUUUUAAUAGCUUAAUUGAUUGACUACAUAGACGUUUAUCUCGUGAGUGAAAAUUUUCCUAGUCACUAAUAAUUUCCUCCUUUUCAUAUUUUUGAUAUAAUAAAAAAAUUUAAAAUAUAAUAUAUGUGUCAAUUAUCAAAUAAAAUAAAUAAAUAUGUAAAUGAUAAAAGGUAUUCCAUUAGAUAAAAUAACAUUUACAACUGAAAAAAAUAAUCCGUAAAUUGAACUAAAACUUAGGAAAAUGAGAAAUAGAAAAGGUUGAUGGGAAAGAAAGUGAAAAAAGAGGGCUAGGGAUAAAAAGUAGGAGAGACGAUAAAAGAGGUAGGCCCACACGUUUUUCAUUCAAAAAUAAUCUCUCACAUGCCAUAUCAUGAAAUGAAAUUCCAUAUUCUCCAAAAAAAAUCAUAAUUUGGGAAUUUCAAAUAAUGAUUUGGGAUUGUUCAAAUACAAAAAUUGAUCCACAAAUUUAUAUUUUAUUAAAACAACUCCACAUUUAUAUCUACUAACCAUUUAUUUCAUAUGUAUAUAAAAUUUAUAAUCAUAUCAUUACUUUUUAUAAUUUAGUAUUCUCACCAACAUAAAAUUUAUUAUUACUUUAAAUUAAUUCCUACUUUAUUAUUUAUAUUCACCGAAUUUAUUUUUUUUUUAUCAAAUUUAUUUAUCAACCAAAUUUAUUACUACAAUUUAUGUUUAAUUUUUUUAUUGAAUUAAAAUUUGAUUAAUAAAUGUUUUAUUUAUCUAAAGGGGUAUAUCUUUGACUAUUCUUUUCAAAUAUGUCUCUAAAUACUUCUAUCCAUGAUAAGUUGUGUUAUCGUUUGUGUAGUUGCUAAAACAAUAACAUACCCAGUGUGAUCCACGUAGGAUCUGAGAAGAGUGGUGUGUGUGUAGUCUUACCCCGCCUUGUGAGGGUAGAGAGUCUACUUUCUAAAACUAGAUUAUUAGUUCAAAGAGUUUGGGAACUGAUGUUCGAGUCCAAAAUGGAAGCUAGUGCCUUGAUACUCUUACUCGUACUCCGCUAUUGAUUCCGAGACAAUGGAGGUAAGUUUUUUUUCUUAUAAUUGAAUCAAAUACAUGUGUAAGACAUUCACUCACUUCAGAGUUCAGAGAGCAGAAUAAACCAAAUUGAGAUGACCUUCUCAACGAAAUAAUCAUAGUUUAGAGUAGAAAGAAUUAGACAAAACAAACUUUUAUUACUUUUGACAAUGCAACAAAGCUUUUCUUAUAAGUGGAGAACAAAUAGCUUUGUAAUAAUUUAAUAUGAGAUUUCAAUUUUUUUUUGUUUAUUUGGUAAGACUGAAUAAAUAAUUGAGACUAUUUUAAUAAUUUUACAACUUAUGAGAUUCUUAUAUUUAUGAGAAAUUAUACAAUACAAAAAAUUUAAAUCGCAUGUCCAAACAAAACUUCAACUUCAUCUCAUAUUUCAUAGUAUUAUGAUUUCAUAUCAUUAUUUCAUAUUGAAUAGCCAAAUGGGCCCUUAAACUUGUAUAAAAUUGAAUAAAUAGACACACAUGUCUUACGUGACAUCAUACAUAGCUAUUUAUGUCCUACGUGGUAUAUUACCACGUAGGAUUCAUGUCAACUUUAUAUAAGUUUAAAUGUCUACUUUUAUACACCCAAAAUUAGAGUGCAUAAAUAUGAAAUGAGGCUAAGUUAAAGUACGCCAUUUAUGUAUUGAUUGAUUGGCUCACCUAUCCAUAUAUAUGUAAUGAAACUCCAUCCGAAGUUUAUAAGAAGAAAAAGAUAUCAGUGAAAUUCUGCAACUGUUGUUCCAAUGGCUAGUGAAAUGUUUCAAGGUCAGGCUCAUAUCUACAAGCAUGCCUUGAGUUAUGCAAAUUGCAUGGUUCUUAGUUGUGCAAUUCAGUUAGGCAUACCAGAUGUAAUUCAUAGUCAUAAGCAGCCAAUGACUCUGUCUCAACUUGUUUCACAGCUCAAACUUCCUCCUCAAAAAUCAGAUGCAGUUUAUCGAGUGAUGCGCCUAUUGGUAUACUCUGGCUUCUUUGCUACUAGAGAUUUUCUUGAUGAAAACUCAGAAAACCAACAAGGGUAUAUUCUUACACCUUCUUCUAAGCUGCUUUUGAAGAGUGAGAUACCAAACUUGUCAACUUUUGUUAGAGCAAUGGUUGAACCUGCUAUGGUGAAUCCAUGGCAAUCUUUGGGGGAUUGGUUUCUAGGAGAUAAAACCACUCCAUUUGAGACAGCAAAUGGUGCACCCAUAUGGGAAUUCGGUGACCAAAAUCCAAGAUUCAACAAUGUUUUCAAUGAAGCAAUGGCUAGUGAUUCCCAAAUGAUGUGUUUGGUUGCAAAGGACUGCAAACAAGUAUUUCAAGACAUGAAUUCCUUGGUUGAUGUUGGAGGUGGCACUGGAGUUAUAGCUAAGGCAAUUUUGGCUGCAUUUCCUCAUCUAAAAUGUACUGUGUUGGACCUCCCUCAGGUUGUUGCUAACAUGCCAGACACAAAUAAUUUGAAAUAUGUAGGAGGUGACAUGUUUCACUCAAUUCCCUCUGCUGAUGCCAUUUUGUUUAAGGUAACAUGACUACUAUUCUAGCUUUUGUUGGUAAAAAAUUUCAUCUCUUUGUCUGUCAUGCCAAAUGUCCAUCAAAACAGUUAAAAAAUAUGACAUAAUUUUUGCAGCAUGUUAUGCAUAACUGGAGUGAUGAGGAUUGUGUGAAGAUACUAAAGAAAUGUAGAGAAGCUAUCAAGGAUAAUAAAAAAAAUGAAGGGAAGGUUAUUAUAAUUGACAUGGUAUUGGAUAGAGAUGAAGAUGAAGAUAAAGCAAACAUGACUGAAGUGAAGCUCAUUUAUGAUGUAGCAAUGAUUGUGCUUCUUACUGGGAGGGAGAGAACUGAGAAAGAAUGGGAAAAGCUAUUCCUUGAGGCUGGCUUUAUGACCUAUAAGAUUACACCUCUCUUUGGACUAAGGUCCCUCAUUGAAAUUUUCCCUUAAGGAAAUUGAUGAACUAGUUUAAUUUCCCUUCCUUUUAUUCUCUUGUACUUUUGAAUUAAUCAUUUUCAUCUACUUCUUGUCAGUCUUUGGUCUUGGUUGCCCUGCAACAUUGGGUCAAAUCUCAUUUUCUUUGGAGGAAUGUUCCUUCUUCAGGCAUAUGUUGAGAUUUGCUUUUGGUUAUUGCAGUUGUUUUUGAAUUUUAGUUAGGUUGUUGAGAUAUUUUAAGUUAUUUUAAAUUUCAAAUUAUGCAGAUUAUUGAAAGUUAUUUCAAUUCAUUGAGAAAAAAUUUCAAUUAUUAUUUGCCGUCCAUCUUUUAAAAAAACCAACAGAAACACUGAAAUAAGAGAAAAUGAUCAAAUCUGUAUGCGUACUAUAGGAAUACAUAAAUGUCACGUUUCAGUUUAUUCCUCGUGCGGAUGCCAUUUUGCUUGGUAUGCACACAAAUUUUUAUUCUUGACAUGCCCAGAAAGAUAGUUACAGGUAAAUCGUAAACAUCAACACAAGUAAAAUUAGUAACCUCAAGAAUAAAAUAGGUUGGAUACACUAAUUGUAUGCAAAAUAUGACACUUGUUCAUUUUCUGUCAGUUUGAAAUUGUUUUUCUUCCAUUUACCAUACUCUACCCAGGGCACAACCUUCUAAACUAGAAUAGAUUGUGGCAAUUGGGUGGGCUGGGUUAAAUUUGGGCGGGUCAUAAUCAUGGGUUGUGACAAUAAUCAGGCUCAGAUCCAACUCAACCAAAUUUGCUUAGGUAAAAAAAAGAGUUGGGUCAAACGGGUUAAGUUAUGGGUUACAUAACGUGUCACGAUCCAACCCAACCCAAAUUUGGUUAGGUAAAAAGAAGUUGGGUCAAAACGGGUUAAGUAAUGGGUUACAUAAGGGGUCACGACCCAAUCCAAUUCAAUUUUUACUAAACUUAAUUGUUUUAUUAGAGAAGGAUCUAAAAUACCCUCGUUUACCUUUUGACCUCAAAAUAUCCUUGGGGGGUUAACCUUCAGGGGUCUAUAAUGUCAUUUUCACAAAUAGAUGAAUUAGUUCAUAUAAUUAAUAAUUUCAUUUAUUACGUGGCGUUAUCUGAUUGAUUGAAAAAUUAAUUAACUAAUUAAAACUUAACUUACCCAACCCAAACCUGGAUCCACCUGAUUUAAAACUAUCGAGUAUCGACCAAUCCUUUCUAAAUCAAUUGCCCAUCAUUCUAAACCCAAUUCUUAAAGAAAACCCUAAACAUUUCUCGAUAGGUUUAGGCUCAUGGCAAGAAACAAACACUCUUUAUCAUUAUUUAUUCUAGGAUCUGUUUUCGUUGUGUAUAUUAUUUUAUUAUAUUAUAAAUUAAAAUUUUAGUAAGCGUCGGGGCGGGGCUUAGGAGCAAUUUUGUGCUCUACAAGACUUUUAGUCUAAAUUUGCUUUGCCGUUUGAAAAAAAUCUCAUUUUUAUCCUUGAAAUAUGAAUCAUUUCAUGUUACAAUUUCGUUAACGACAGAGAUAAAGGAUAGAACUGUUAUUAGAAUGACGCAAAUUUUAAUUUUUGAAUAACAAGAAAAGAGGGAGCUGUCACAAUUCUAAGUAUGUCAUCACAAACCUAAUUACAUACCUAAAGACAAUUAGACAAGCAUGCAUUUACUUCUGCAAAUUAAUUGUCACACACAACUAGGGAUACCAUAUAUUAUACAUAAAUAACCAAUCACUCUUCCCCAUCUACUUUCAUAUACCAUAUUUUAAAUUUGACAAGUUGAUAACUUGAUAUCAAUACAUAACCUUUGAUAGCUUCAAUAUAGUUGUAAUACUUGAAACUUUGAGAAAAAAAAAAAAAAAAAGAAUACCCAAUACCUUUGAUUCAAUAAUAUUCUUCAGCUAUAAAUUAUUAAGUUUAAAUUUUAGACAUUGUAUUUUUAUUUUUCAAACUUUCGAUUGAAAAUCCUUGGAACCGUCAACCUAUAAGUCUAUUACUAGUAUUCAAAGUCAAAGCAGUUGACGUAUGAGUUUUACUCUCUAGCCGGCCCUGCAGGCGGCAUCCUUAAAAGUUUAUAUUUGUUUUAAAAGAAAAAGAGCAGGGAAAUGGAUGUUCCAAUGUCUAGUGAAAUGUUUCAAGGUCAGGCUCAUAUCUACAAGCAUGCCUUCAGUUUUGCAAAUUCCAUGGUUCUUGGUUGUGCAAUUCAAUUAGGUAUACCAGAUGUUAUUCAUAGUCAUAAGCAGCCAAUGACUCUGUCUCAACUUGUUUCUGAGCUGAAACUUCUUCCUGAAAAAUCAGAUGCAAUUCAUCGAUUGAUGCGCCUAUUGGUAUACUCUGGCUUCUUUGCUACUAGAGAAUUUCUUGAUGAAAACUCAGAAAAUCAACAAGGGUAUGUUCUUACACCUUCUUCUAAGCUGCUUUUGAGGAGUGAGAUCCCAAACUUGUCACCUUUUGCUAGAGCUAUGGUUGAUCCUGUUAUGGUGAAUCCAUGGCAAUCUUUGGGGGAUUGGAUUCUAGGAAACGAAACCACCCCAUUUGAGACAGCACAUGGUGCACCCAUGUGGCAAUUCUGUGACCAAAAUCCAAGAUUCAACAAUGUUUUCAAUGAAGCAAUGGCUAGUGAUUCCCAAAUGAUGUGUUUGGUUGUAAAGGACUGCAAACAAGUUUUUCAAGACAUGGAUUCCUUGGUUGAUGUUGGAGGUGGCACUGGAAUUAUAGCUAACACUAUUUUAGCUGCAUUUCCUCAUCUAAAAUGCACUGUGUUGGACCUACCUCAUGUUGUUGCUAACAUGCCAGACACAGAAAAUUUGAAAUAUGUAGGAGGUGACAUGUUUCACUCAAUUCCCUCUGCUGAUGCCAUUUUGUUUAAGGUAACACGAUUCUAG
rnacentral:lncRNA from 1 species